GCUCACGUAUGCAUACGAGAAUGAAACUUCUGUACAUUUUAAUCUGAUUAAUUCCUAAGGAUUUAAAGUUAAUUGGCUUGGGCACUCCUAGACCGGACUAUAAGACUUCUGCAUCAGGGUUUCUACCAGUGCUGUAUCGAAUAGAUAUUUUUAAGGGAUAGUGGUAAAGGGAUAUGGGGUGGGGUGGUGGUGGGGAGAAUCCUGGUUUGUGAAUUUUUUUUUUUUUCAAACGAGAAACCGUGCCUCGCAUGCUGUUGUCAGAGCAAAACACUUUCGCUGCUUAAAGUCAGAUCUACGUCUUUUGCAAUAAUACUUAAAAAAAAAAAAAAAAAGGAUAAAUAAUUGCCUUAAAGCCUCAGCCGAGCUGCCAACCACACCUUCGGAUGUCUGAAGGCAGAAAUAUGUGAACUGCUGAGAGAGGUGGGUACUUUUUGAAGCUGUCUCAAGCAAAAUCAUCGCAAGCAUUUCCCAGCCCACUGCUAAGGAAUCUGGAAGAUGCCCAGGUCUGAGACAAUGGUGAGGACUGGGACAAAAUUCUGCUUCAGACUGGAUUCCUCCAUCUGAGUAGUUCUGUCUGGACCUACAAUUGCUGAUGGGCUGCAGCAAUGUGGACCUUUCUCUCUCUCCUUACUCCACAGCAUCAAAUCACCAGAAGGGCCUAAGAU